rnacentral:lncRNA from 1 species
AUGUUUUGUUUCCCUUCUUGGUUUCCUUUUCCAAGCUCUUGAAGUUAAUGGUGAAUCAUUACUUGACCAUGCAGUGAAACUUGAUUUAGCUAAGGAAAAGGUGCAUACACUCCCGGUACCAGCAAUGAGAGGUCUUUUCCAAAAGAGAGCACAGACUCCAGCACUAACUGCGUUUUGCAAGGUGAUUUAGUUAUGAUGAAAGCAUUGUUGAU